CCACAAAUGGAAAAGAGAAAUAUGAUGGAAAGAUUUUAUUAGAUUGUGCAAAUCGGCAAAAUCAGGACAGUUUGGAAGAAUGCAACUUGACUCUUUUGUGAACUGUAGGGGGCUUUUCCUGCUGUAAGAACUACCAGAGAACCAUCUGCUUGAGGAAUCCUUUAAAAAUUGCCAUGGGUCGUUUAGCAGUUCAUGGUUCCAUCUUGCUCUGUUCUUGCAAUCAGAAAAAGAACUGAGCUAUAUCCAGUCAGGGAAGAUCCUGCCAUGCUCCUUCCCGCUGAAGGAGCCUCUUCCUGAAGAUUAGGAGAUAAUGCAUCUGGAAUAACAUGAACUCAUCCAGGUUUGUGGUUUAUCUGAAAAUCAAAUCGUAAUAAUCUCAUAGUCCAUCUGGCUGCACAUACAUUUGGAUACAGUUGAAAUAUCAACCAUGACACAGGGCUAACAACUUUGAAAAUGGGAGAGAAAAGGAAAGUUCCAUUUUACAGUUGGGGCUAAACAUUCCUUUGCCUCUGGUGGUGUGUUUUUCUUUCAGCAGCCUGGAGAGUGCUGUUGGCAGAAGCCUCUUUGGUGUGUUUGUUUCUCCCGUGGAUAUGUGUGCUCAGCAGGUCCUUAUAGGUGUGAACAGAAUGCGGAUCUAGUAGAGGCCCUGGCCGAAGCGAAAAUUUUAAGGGUGUGAAAACAUGAAUCUAGAGAUUGAGGAGAUUAGUUUUUUGACAUUCUUUUCAGGAAGAGCAUCUCUAUCCUGGGUUAUGAGCCUAUUCAUGGAAAAGCCGAAGAGCGUGGUAGAGCAAAAUGUUUGGUGUUAGGUUAAUGGAUAGUUAACAGUGCAAGAUAGAAGCAGGAAUGAGCUUGAUUUGGGAUGAUUACAUACAAUUUCUCACCUUGUUGACCUUGUUGAAGUUGGAAGAGGUCUGAGACUAUCAACAGAACUCGAACUCCUGACCUUGUGACAUGCCUUCCAAUUCUGUGUGCUGACAUAUCACAAUAAAAAUACCUUGAACGUCUACAUGCAACACAUGAGGUGUAGACCAUGGAAAUCCUGACUCCAAACAGGAAUGCAAAUCCUGUGUAAAAUUGAAAAAUUAUUUAUCAAAUGUGCUUGCAUAACCAGCAAUCAUAAGUGUUGAAGCAAACAAGGCUAGAUAUUAUGUUACAGCUGCAAAUUGGAAGCCACUCUGUUACGUGCAAACAAAUAACAUUCCUUGAACAUCCCAUAAACAUCUCCUGACAUACCAUUUCUGCUAGCACAACACUGAGAGACCAUAUGUGUAUAAACGGAGGGUGAAGUGUGUGUCAGAAGUUGGUUCCCUGGGACGAUCUCAUUUGGGGAGACAAUGUGAUCAUCUCUAGUUCACAGAGCUUGGGCUCCAUUCCGUAGUCAUGCUGGCCUUUAAGAGCCUUGCGGUUCAGCAUCUCUGCCAUAAAUGGGAGAGCUGGCAUUCUUUAGGACCUGGGGGAGUUGUUGUGUUCCACUGGAAUGUGUUGAAUGGCUUGUAAAUUAGAGUCCCUAAUGAAAACUCGCUGGUGUCCAACUGCAGCAAUCAUCUGGUUAAAAUCAGGCAGUAAUUCCACUAAUUUUACUGCCCUUCUCCCAGCCCUCAACGCCUCAUUUAGGAAAAAAUGUUUAUGUUCCCCUCAAAACACCUGCGUUUUAACUUCAGUCCCCAGAGCAAUUAUA
rnacentral:lncRNA from 1 species